GACGAACGCUGGCGGCGCGCUUAACACAUGCAAGUCGAACGAUGAAGCCGGAGCUUGCUCUGGUGAAUUAGUGGCGAACGGGUGAGUAACACGUGAGUAACCUGCCCUUGACUCUGGGAUAACUGCGGGAAACUGUAGCUAAUACCGGAUACGACCCUCGGCGGCAUCGCCAGGGGGUGGAAAGAAUUUCGGUCAAGGAUGGACUCGCGGCCUAUCAGCUAGUUGGUGAGGUAAAGGCUCACCAAGGCGACGACGGGUAGCCGGCCUGAGAGGGUGACCGGCCACACUGGGACUGAGACACGGCCCAGACUCCUACGGGAGGCAGCAGUGGGGAAUAUUGCACAAUGGGCGCAAGCCUGAUGCAGCAACGCCGCGUGAGGGAUGACGGCCUUCGGGUUGUAAACCUCUUUUAGCAGGGAAGAAGCGAAAGUGACGGUACCUGCAGAAAAAGCACCGGCUAACUACGUGCCAGCAGCCGCGGUAA
rnacentral:rRNA from 1 species